CGCCUCGUUUCAAUUCAAUGACCAUGGGAGCAAGCGGUGGCCAAGUGUCGGAAAAAACGGUCUAAUUUUCAUAUCCUUGUUAUCCAUUGGUCUUACUCCUUUUUACUCUCAUUUUCACUUCAUUGUUCCUUGCUUAAAUUUCACAAUUCUUCCUUAAUUGUUGUCUGUAUUGUAAAAAAAAAAAAAAUGCAUAAAUGGAAAAUUCAAUUACACAUAAUUAUGAAGAGGAAGGAAAAAUUGAGAACACAAAGAUAACAAAAGACAUAAAGCAAUGAUUUACCGUAUGCAGAAGUCCACUUGUGGCUUCUCUGAUGAGUUGAUGAUCGUAACUCCUCUCUUUCGCCCUAUUUCUCUCAGUCAUAAAAGACAUACGGUUUACAAAAGAAGGAUUUGAGGGGAGUUUUCA
rnacentral:lncRNA from 1 species